rnacentral:lncRNA from 1 species
UGGCAACCUGGCUGAGGGUGGAGAAAAGGUGUUGAUCUUUUCCAGUGGGCGUGAGUGCGCUGGGCGGGCUUCUGGGUUUCUCUCGUGCUGCGUCAGCCUUUUUGAGAAUUUUAGGCGAGGAAAGCUCUGCCGCGGAGGCUUCUGGGAAAGAGAAUUCUCCGCAUGCAAGAAAGUUUCCAAUAAAUAAUCCCAUUCAGCAAACUUUUACUGAGGAUGCAGUAAGUGUGAUAUAAAAGGGGAUAUAAAGAAAAGGCUGGUGCUGGCCUGAGUACGGGCACAGGAAAAUAGAGA